rnacentral:rRNA from 1 species
UGGGGAAUAUUGCACAAUGGGCGCAAGCCUGAUGCAGCGACGCCGCGUGAGGGAUGACGGCCUUCGGGUUGUAAACCUCUGUUAGCAGGGAAGAAGAGAAAUUGACGGUACCUGCAGAGAAAGCGCCGGCUAACUACGUGCCAGCAGCCGCGGUAAUACGUAGGGCGCGAGCGUUGUCCGGAAUUAUUGGGCGUAAAGAGCUUGUAGGCGGUUUGUCGCGUCUGCUGUGAAAGGCCGGGGCUUAACCCCGUGUAUUGCAGUGGGUACGGGCAGACUAGAGUGCAAUAGGGGAGACUGGAACUCCUGGUGUAGCGGUGGAAUGCGCAGAUAUCAGGAAGAACACCGAUGGCGAAGGCAGGUCUCUGGGCUGUAACUGACGCUGAGAAGCGAAAGCAUGGGGAGCGAACAGGAUUAGAUACCCUGGUAGUCCAUGCCGUAAACGUUGGGCACUAGGUGUGGGGGACAUUCCACGUUUUCCGCGCCGUAGCUAACGCAUUAAGUGCCCCGCCUGGGGAGUACGGCCACAAGGCUA